AAUUAUACCGCGAAACUGCGAAUGGCUCAUUAAAUCAGUUAUCGUUUAUUUGAUAGCACCUUACUACUUGGAUAACCGUGGUAAUUCUAGAGCUAAUACAUGCUGAAAAUCCCAACUUCGGAAGGGAUGUAUUUAUUAGAUUAAAAACCAAUGCCCUCCGGGGCUCACUGGUGAUUCAUAAUAACUUCUCGAAUCGCAUGGCCUUGCGCCGGCGAUGGUUCAUUCAAAUUUCUGCCCUAUCAACUUUCGACUGCUGGGUCUUGGCCAGCAAUGGUGACAACGGGUAACGGAGGGUUAGGGCUCGACCCCGGAGAAGGAGCCUGAGAGACGGCUACUACAUCCAAGGAAGGCAGCAGGCGCGCAAAUUACCCAAUCCCGACACGGGGAGGUAGUGACAAUAAAUACUGAUACAGGGCUCUUUUGGGUCUUGUAAUUGGAAUGAGUACAAUUUAAAUCCCUUAACGAGGAACAAUUGGAGGGCAAGUCUGGUGCCAGCAGCCGCGGUAAUUCCAGCUCCAAUAGCGUAUAUUAAAGUUGUUGCAGUUAAAAAGCUCGUAGUUGAACCUUGGGCCUGGCCGGCCGGUCCGCCUCACCGCGUGCACUGGUUCGGCCGGGCCUUUUCCUCUGGCGAGCCCCAUGCCCUUCACUGGGCGUGUGGGGGAACCAGGACUUUUACUUUGAAAAAAUUAGAGUGUUCAAAGCAGGCCUAUGCUCGAAUACAUUAGCAUGGAAUAAUAGAAUAGGACGUGCGGUUCUAUUUUGUUGGUUUCUAGGACCGCCGUAAUGAUUAAUAGGGACAGUCGGGGGCAUCAGUAUUCAAUUGUCAGAGGUGAAAUUCUUGGAUUUAUU
rnacentral:rRNA from 1 species